AUUGAACGCUGGCGGCAUGCUUUACACGUGCAAGUCGAACGGCAGCACGGACUUCGGUCUGGUGGCGAGUGGCGAACGGGUGAGUAAUACAUCGGAACGUGCCCAGUUGUGGGGGAUAACUACUCGAAAGAGUAGCUAAUACCGCAUGAGAACUGAGGUUGAAAGCAGGGGAUCGUAAGACCUUGCGCAACUGGAGCGGCCGAUGGCAGAUUAGGUAGUUGGUGGGAUAAAAGCUUACCAAGCCGACGAUCUGUAGCUGGUCUGAGAGGACGACCAGCCACCCUGGGACGGAGCCACGGCCCAGACUCCUACGGGAGGCAGCAUUGGGAAAUUUUGGACAAUGGUGGAAAGCCUGAUCCAGCAAUGCCGCGUGCAGGAUGAAGGCCUUCGGGUUGUAAACUGCUUUUGUACGGAACGAAAAGCUUCGGGCUAAUACCCUGGAGUCAUGACGGUACCGUAAGAAUAAGCACCGGCUAACUACGUGCCAGCAGCCGCCGUAACAC
rnacentral:rRNA from 1 species